rnacentral:rRNA from 1 species
UACGAAGGGUGCAAACGUUGCUCGGAAUUAUUGGGCGUAAAGCGUCCGUAGGUGGCUCUUCAAGUCUGCUGUCAAAGAGUGGGGCUUAACCCUGCAAAGGCAGUGGAAACUGAAAGGCUAGAGAGCCGUAGGGGUAGAGGGAAUUCCUGGUGUAGCGGUGAAAUGCGCAGAUAUCAGGAGGAACACCGGUGGCGAAGGCGGGUCUCUGGGCAAUAACUGACGCUGAGGAGCGAAAGCGUGGGGAGCGAACAGG